GCUCAUAAACAUAGUGUUGAUCUUUUGUGGUACUCAGAAUUUGCUGUGCUCUGCAGGCCUGGGACGGACGGUUCAUUAGACAACAGAAAGGAAAAGCAGAAAGCAAGAAUAUGAGAAAAUGGUCAUGGGGAAGAGGAGGCUUGAUAUAUCUUCAUAUAAGAUGUAUAGACAUGGCUAACUGGUGAUGCUGUGGGCUUGGUUUUGGACCAGAUCACCUGCCUUUGGCAAUUGGAUUCACUCCUUUUCACCAUUCCCUGGCUCAACUCUUAGUGGAAUUGUUAUGCAACUUCACCUUAGAGGAAGAGUCACUGUAAGGGUAGGUGUGGUGAAGGAUCAUCAUUGAAUUCAUAUCUGAGAUAUUCCAUCUGUAACCACUUCAGCUUCAAUUAACUUCAUCUCCAGUAGGCUUUAAGCACACCUCCCCUUUUCAAUCCCUGAAGGCUG